rnacentral:rRNA from 1 species
UACGGGGGGGGCAAGCGUUGUUCGGAAUUACUGGGCGUAAAGGGCGCGUAGGCGGUUGGAUAAGUCAGCUGUGAAAACCACGAGCUUAACUCGUGGCCUGCAGUUGAGACUGUCUGGCUUGAGUGUGGGAGAGGAGAGUGGAAUUCCUGGUGUAGCGGUGAAAUGCGUAGAUAUCAGGAGGAACACCGGUGGCGAAGGCGGCUCUCUGGACCACAACUGACGCUGAGGCGCGAAAGCGUGGGGAGCGAACAGG